AGGAAGGAGGGAGGAGAGACAGAGAGAAGGUUUGUGUUUUUCUCUAUCACUGCAGCAUUCUGACAGAGCAGCAGAGCAGCCUAAACACGACUCUCAGCAGAUAGACAGAGAAGACACUGAAGACACAUUGGAUAGGAGAUAAAGAGAGGAAGACAGAAAGAGAGAGAGAAGAAAGGGAGAGAGAGAAGACAGCACCUCCAGAGUGACCGCGGACAGUGACAAGGAGACCGAGGGUAAAGAGAGGCUGCUGGACGAGACACGCACCAACAGAUACGCCAACAAACACAGACACGUGUGUCAGUCUGUUUUUGACGCGCACCAGAGGAUUCGAGGGGUUCCUGGGGUUCCUGUGUGUGUUUGAGGGGUUGAGGGUGUGUGUGUGUGGUGUGUGUGUUUGAGGGGUUGAGGGUGUGUGUGGUGUUGAUGGGACAGUAAGAGAUGUGUGUAUCUCAGUAUCAGAGGGGCAGUAGCCCCCCUGCCCUCCUCCUCCUCCCUCUGUUCCUCCUCUCCUCCUCUCAUCUACUCGCUCAUGGAGCCAUCCAGAUCCCCAAAAACUUGUUACAGCCUCCUAUUCUGACAAAGAUGCCUGAGUCCUUAACGGCCUUUUCAUUAGACGAUGUCAUGCUGCCCUGCGAGGCCACCGGCAUCCCCACACCCAGGUAUACCCUACUAUUACAAUACCAUGCUGCUCUGCAAGGGCCCCCCAAACCCAGGUAUACCCUACUAUAACAAUAUCAUGCUGCUCUGCAAGGCCCCCCCCCCCCACCCAGGUAUACCCUACUAUUAUAAUAUCAUGCUGCUCUGCAAGGCCCCCCCACACCCAGGUAUACCCUACUAUUACAAUACCAUGCUGCUCUGCAAGGCCCCCCCACACCCAGGUAUACCCUACUAUUAACAAUAUCAUGCUGCUCUGCAAGGCCCCCCCACACCCAGGUAUACCCUACUAUUACAAUAUCAUGCUGCUCUGCAAGGCCCCCCCCCCACCCAGGUAUACCCUACUAUUAACAAUAUCAUGCUGCUCUGCAAGGCCCCCCCACACCCAGGUAUACCCUACUAUUACAAUAUCAUGCUGCUCUGCAAGGCCCCCCCCCACCCAGGUAUACCCUACUAUUACAAUAUCAUGCUGCUCUGCAAGGCCCCCCCCCCACCCAGGUAUACCCUACUAUUACAAUAUCA